rnacentral:rRNA from 1 species
AGCGGAUGAGGGUAGCUUGCUACCUGAUUCAGCGGCGGACGGGUGAGUAAUGCCUAGGAAUCUGCCUGGUAGUGGGGGACAACGUUUCGAAAGGAACGCUAAUACCGCAUACGUCCUACGGGAGAAAGUGGGGGAUCUUCGGACCUCACGCUAUCAGAUGAGCCUAGGUCGGAUUAGCUAGUUGGUGGGGUAAAGGCUCACCAAGGCGACGAUCCGUAACUGGUCUGAGAGGAUGAUCAGUCACACUGGAACUGAGACACGGUCCAGACUCCUACGGGAGGCAGCAGUGGGGAAUAUUGGACAAUGGGCGAAAGCCUGAUCCAGCCAUGCCGCGUGUGUGAAGAAGGUCUUCGGAUUGUAAAGCACUUUAAGUUGGGAGGAAGGGCAGUAAGUUAAUACCUUGCUGUUUUGACGUUACCGACAGAAUAAGCACCGGCUAACUCUGUGCCAGCAGCCGCGGUAAU